UACAGAGGGGGCUAGCGUUAUUCGGAAUUACUGGGCGUAAAGCGCACGUAGGCGGCUUUGUAAGUCAGAGGUGAAAGCCCGGAGCUCAACUCCGGAAUUGCCUUUGAGACUGCAUCGCUUGAAUCCAGGAGAGGUGAGUGGAAUUCCGAGUGUAGAGGUGAAAUUCGUAGAUAUUCGGAAGAACACCAGUGGCGAAGGCGGCUCACUGGACUGGUAUUGACGCUGAGGGUGCGAAAGCGUGGGGAGCAACAGG
rnacentral:rRNA from 1 species